rnacentral:rRNA from 1 species
AUUGAACGCUGGCGGCAUGCCUUACACAUGCAAGUCGAACGGCAGCACGGGUGCUUGCACCUGGUGGCGAGUGGCGAACGGGUGAGUAAUACAUCGGAACAUGUCCUGUAGUGGGGGAUAGCCCGGCGAAAGCCGGAUUAAUACCGCAUACGAUCUACGGAUGAAAGCGGGGGACCUUCGGGCCUCGCGCUAUAGGGUUGGCCGAUUGCUGAUUAGCUAGUUGGUGGGGUAAAGGCCUACCAAGGCGACGAUCAGUAGCUGGUCUGAGAGGACGACCAGCCACACUGGGACUGAGACACGGCACAGACUCCUACGGGAGGCAGCAGUGGGGAAUUUUGGACAAUGGGCGAAAGCCUGAUCCAGCAAUGCCGCGUGUGUGAAGAAGGCCUUCGGGUUGUAAAGCACUUUUGUCCGGAAAGAAAUCCUUGGCUCUAAUACAGUCGGGGGAUGACGGUACCGGAAGAAUAAGCACCGGCUAACUACGUG